GAGGCGGCGACGGGUGAGUAACACGUGGGUGAUCUGCCCUGUACUUCGGGAUAAGCCUGGGAAACUGGGUCUAAUACCGGAUAUGACCUUGGAAUGCAUGGUUUGGGGUGGAAAGAUUUAUCGGUACAGGAUGGGCCCGCGGCCUAUCAGCUUGUUGGUGGGGUAACGGCCUACCAAGGCGACGACGGGUAGCCGACCUGAGAGGGUGACCGGCCACACUGGGACUGAGACACGGCCCAGACUCCUACGGGAGGCAGCAGUGGGGAAUAUUGCACAAUGGGCGAAAGCCUGAUGCAGCGACGCCGCGUGGGGGAUGACGGCCUUCGGGUUGUAAACCCCUUUCGACAGGGACGAAGCGCAAGUGACGGUACCUGUAGAAGAAGCACCGGCCAACUACGUGCCAGCAGCCGCGGUAAUACGUAGGGUGCGAGCGUUGUCCGGAAUUACUGGGCGUAAAGAGCUUGUAGGCGGUCUGUCGCGUCUUCUGUGAAAACUUGGGGCUCAACCUUAAGCUUGCAGGGGAUACGGGCAGACUAGAGUACUUCAGGGGAGACUGGAAUUCCUGGUGUAGCGGUGAAAUGCGCAGAUAUCAGGAGGAACACCGGUGGCGAAGGCGGGUCUCUGGGAAGUAACUGACGCUGAGAAGCGAAAGCAUGGGUAGCAAACAGGAUUAGAUACCCUGGUAGUCCAUGCCGUAAACGGUGGGUACUAUGUGUGGGUUUCCUUCCACGGGAUCCGUGCCGUAGCUAACGCAUUAAGUACCCCGCCUGGGGGAGUACGGCCGCACGCUAAACUCAAGAAUUGACGGGGCCGCACAGCGCGAGCAUGUGAUUAUCGAUGCACGCGAGAC
rnacentral:rRNA from 1 species